GUCCUAAUACAUUUCCUAUUGUUAAUUGGUCAAUUUCCUUAUUAUAUUGAGCUAAUGGACCUGGAAAACCUUUAUGAAGCCGAAUAUGAGUAAUACAUAGUGGAUAGUUUUGACUCUAAUGGCUUGUUGCAAUUGUAUAAAUAAGAAAGUUAAUUCUAAAUUAUCAGGUACAAAUUCAGCAGUCUCUAUAUGCAAAACAACUCUUUCUACAUAUAAAGAAUCAGUAAUUAUGUUAAUAGAUUUAGGAUAAUCUAAUAAUACCACAAGGAUUACAUAUAAUUCUGACUUAAAAAAAAAGAUUUAUUUAUUAUUAUGCACAGGUACACUGUAGCUGGCUUCAGAUGCACCAGAAGAGGGCAUCAGAUCUCAUUAUGGGUGGUUGUGAGCCACCAUGUGUUUGCUAGGAUUUGAACUCAGGACCUUUGGAAGAGCAGUCAGUGCUCUUACCCGCUAAGCCAUCUCUCCAGCCCUAAUUCUGACUUUUGAACUGAGGUAUUUGGACUUUGAUCUCCUUGCUUCUUUUGUCUGACUUAUAAUCUACCAUCCCCAUCUAGUUUGCAUCAAUAUAAAAUGUUGGUGCCUCUGGAAUUGGUAUUCUCUUUAUUAUAUGUGGGAGUCUAGUUAGUUCUAGUUAGUUCACUGUAUAUACUUGAUAUUCAGAUAUUUGUAAUUAAUUUUACCCAAGUAUUUACUACAAAUUCUUUGCCAAUGUUCACUAAUUACCCAUAAUGACAUAAUCUCAUUAUUUGUAGCAGGUACUACAAUUUCAGCUGGAUCUGUUCCUGACAAUUGAUGUAGUCUUAUUUUGAUUUUUAUAAUUAAUUCAGAAAUCUUUCCUACUAUGUGAUCAAUUUUUUACUGUUUAUGAGCUAAGAAAAUCCAUUAGAUAAUACAGUCUCCCUUUUGCAUAAUGAACCCAGUAGGAUAAUGAAUUGAAGGUAAAGUGACCAGAAUACAAUCAAGUUUAAGAUCAGUUCGAUCUACAUAUGCCUCUUGUAGUCUUUGUUCUAUAAGAGUUAACUCUUUUUCUGCUUCAGCUGUUAGACAUGUGGAUUGUUUAAAAUUUAUUCUCCCUGCAAUAUUUGAAACAAAUUACUUAACUCAUAUGUACUUAAUCCAAUUGUAGACAAGUUAAUAUCUCCCAUUAAGUUUUGAAAUCAUUAAGAGUUUUCAGUUGGUCCCUAUGGAUCUGUACCUUUUGUGGUUGAAUUUUUUUUUAUGGACUGAUUUUAUAACCCAAAUAACUAAGUGAAUCUCUUCUUUGUAUUUUUUUCUGGAGAAAUCGGUAAUCCCCUACAUGGCAGAAUUCUUUGUGAUACCUUAAAAAUACUUUCUAAAACAUCUUAGUCAGAACCAGCCAACAGAAUGUCAUCCAUAUAAUGAUAAAUGAUAGAUUGAGGGAAUUGCUUACAUAUUAUUUCUAAUGGUUGUUGUGCAAAAUAUUGUCAUAAAGUUGGACUAUUUAACAUUCCCUGUGGAAGUACCUUCCAGUGGUAUCUCUUUAGUGGAUGACUAUUAUUCAAAGUAGUUACUGAGAAAGCAAUCCUUCCCCUGGCUUUCUCAUGCAAGGGUAUUGAGAAAAAAAAAAUCUUUCAAGUCAAUUGUUAAUAUAGGCCAUGAUUUUGGCAACAAAAAUGGUAAAGCUAGUUCAGGGUAUAAAGGACCCAUUGGUUGAAUUACCUUGUUAACUGCUCUUAAAUCUGUUAUCAUUCUUCAUUUGCCUGACUUCUUUUUAACAACAAAUAAAGGGGAAUUCCAUGGGCUGAUAGACUCUUCUAUAUGUUGAGCCUCAAGCUGCUCUUGUAUGAGUUGUUCAAGUGCCUGUAAUUUUCUUUUGUUAUACUGCUCUUGCCACAAAGGCUGGUUUGAUAACUAUUUUAGUGGCAAGGCUGUUGGUAUGUUAGCAGUGGCCCUUUUUGUAAAUUUGGGAACUCAGUCCCUGUGCUGUCCUGUUUUGGGAAAAUGGGCACAGCUUAUGGUUGCUCUCAAUCACCUGUAUCAAUACCUUUCCCAGAGCUUCUACCACAUAAUUCCUAAUUUCCUCAUCUUCUGUCCCUUGAAUGCUGGAAUAUUAAUUGUCAGCCACAUAAGGUCUCAACUUCCCUGUUUGCCCUUCUGGUCCCACACAGGUAAUAUAUCAGACACUUUUUCUUAUUCAUAAUAAUUUGCCAAUUCCUAUAAAUUGUGUGCUAACCUUCUGAAGUGGCCAAUCUGGAUUCCAAGACUUUUGGGAAAGUAUAUGUACUGGCUGGUUUUGUGUGACAACUUGACACAGGCUGGAGUUAUCACAGAUAAAGGAUCUUCAGUUGGGGAAGUGCUUCCAUGAGAUCCAGCUGUGGGGCAUUUUCUCAAUUAGUGAUCAAGUGGGGAGAGCCCCUUGUGGGUGGUGCCAUCCCUGGGCUGGUAGUCUUGGGUUAUAUAAGAGAGCAGGCUGAGCAAGCCAGGGGAAGCAAGCCAGUAAGAAACAUCCCUCCAUGGCCUCUGCAUCAGUUCCUGCUUCCUGACCUCCUUGAGUUCCAGUCCUGACUUCCUUAAGUGAUGAACAGCAAUGUGGAAAUGCAAGCUGAAUAAACCCUUUCUUCCUCAACUUGCUUCUUGGUCAUGAUGUUUUGUGCAGGAAUAGAAACCCUGACUAAGACAGUAUACUAACAUCAGUUCCUGUGUUUACCAUUUCUUCUAUGUCCACACCAUUCAUUUGUACCAUUGACCUGGGUCUCUAACCAUUAACCACUGUUUGCCAGAACACACAUUUUCCAGUACUCCCAAAAGCCCCUGUUCUUUCUACUGGAGCAGCCUUGACCUUGAUGUAAGGAAACAACAACAGUUCAACAAUUCUACCCCUGCAAAAAUUUGCAUUUUCUUUUUCACAUAUGUCCCAAUUUUAGUUUCUUCCUUGCUAUUCCUAUCUAAUAUAUCUGGAUGCACAGUAAAUCCUUGAGAAGUUAAUCUACUUCUCCACAAGAUUAUUCCUACUGUCUCUUUAGGUAAAGGGCCACACACACCAGUGGUUAACUUAAAACAUUCAACUUUUGGGAAUAAUGUAAGAGGGGUAUCUGUGGUCAAGUCCAAAGCUGCACUUCCUUCUAUUAGGUACCACUUGUAGGCUUAGAUUUUUCAAAAUGUUCUUUAAUAAGGAUUAUUAACUGUUUCAAAUUUCCUUAUUGUCUACAGAGCAACUAUAGAGGAGAAAGAUGGUUAAUAGGACAAGGGGGAUGUGAUGGUUUGUAUAUGCUUGGUCCAGGGAGUGGCACCGUUGGAAGGUGAGGCCUUGUUAAAGUAGGUGUGGCCUUGUGGGUGUGGGCUUUAAUACUCUUGUCCUAGCUAUCUAACAAGUAUUCUGCAAACAGCCUUCAGAUGAAGACAUAGAACUCUCAGCUCCUGCCUGCACUAUGCCUGCCUGGAUGUUGCCAUGUACCCACCUUGAUAAUGGACUGACACUCUGAACCUGAUAUCAGCAUUCCAAUCCAAAUCAGUAGUGGCAGUCCCUUCCAAUCAUCAAAUAUCAAGCACAAAUCAGUAGCAGCUGCUCAGUCCAGAAGGAAUCAUGAGACUCCAUCAAACUGGCAUGAGUCUGAAGAAGAAGCAAAAAGCAGACAGAAUAUCAUGAGAAGUAUUCUGGCAUGUUUCUCUCUAUGAAGACACAACAAGUGAUGAUCAGAAAAGGCCACCAAAACAUUACAAGGCAUACCAAUGCGAAAGUGUUGUUAGGGAAGACCAGUGAUGCAUUAUAAAGUGAACCAAUGCAAGAUUGUC
rnacentral:lncRNA from 1 species